GAACACUCAAUAUGACAGAGCAACUUGUCAAAUGCUGGGACGUCAAACAUGAGAUGGUCAGGAGAAUGAUUAGGCAAAAUUGCGGUGUGGUUCUCGAAUUGUUAUUAUAGAAUUUUUGCAGUUACUCGUUAUAGUUAUAAUUGUUUUGCAAGUAAUUAGUGAAACGAGAUAAGCUGUACUAGACUUCGGCGUAUUCGCUAACCGUAACUGAACUGCGUUGGAGAUCGUUUAUAGAAACAUAUUAUCUAGAAACAGAUUUGCCGCUAGAAGUUUGGAACCAUACAUCAUAAAGGGACGAAGAUAGGAGGAAUUAGAGCACGAAAGAACUAAACGUAAGUUGAGUGUGGCCCCAAUUGAAUUGUGACUAAUGAGGUUGAAUUUCAGGAAUUUUUUAAUGUGCCUAAUAAAUAUUAAGAAAUCGGAAUCUCGUGCCCUCCUUUCACUACUCUUGAUAGUUGACCGGUGAGUCAACAAUUUAAAAAAAUCGUUUACUCCCAUUCCGAGCGGACGAUGCUUGGGCGAACGCCAAUGAAGACGAGAAGCACCGCUGCGUCUCGUGAUAGUAGGACCGCUCCGGGGUCUACCCGAAACGAAAUCGAUGGCAGUCAACACUGCAAAGCUUGCAAAGACGACGACAACACUCGAAUGGUCCAGUGCGACAAGUGUGAUGACUGGUACCACUUCGAGUGCGUGGAAGUAAGCCAAGGUGUCGCAGACCGUGAUUGGCAUUGCCCUAGCUGCUUGCAAGCCGCCAAGGGAGCCAAGAAGAAAAGUACAGCGAAGGAAGCUACUGUAGUACCAUCCGUGAGUACGUUAGCUUCUAUAAAUCCUUCUAUACGAGUAACAUCGAUGCCAUUGAAUGUCGUUCCUCAAAUCUCUUCAAGUUUACCCGCCUUGCCCAGCGAUGUUAAUGAUUCUAUGCUAACACACGUUCCAUCCAAUGUGAUGUUUCCGCCUAUGUCCGCCAAUAAAGUAAGCAACACAAUACCCCCUUCUAAUACCCCAGUAACUAGUACG